AGCGAACGCUGGCGGCAGGCCUAACACAUGCAAGUCGAACGAAGUCUUCGGACUUAGUGGCGGACGGGUGAGUAACACGUGGGAACGUGCCUUUAGGUUCGGAAUAACUCAGGGAAACUUGUGCUAAUACCGAAUGUGCCCUUCGGGGGAAAGAUUUGUCGCCUUUAGAGCGGCCCGCGUCUGAUUAGCUAGUUGGUGAGGUAAUGGCUCACCAAGGCGACGAUCAGUAGCUGGUCUGAGAGGAUGACCAGCCACAUUGGGACUGAGACACGGCCCAAACUCCUACGGGAGGCAGCAGUGGGGAAUCUUGCGCAAUGGGCGAAAGCCUGACGCAGCCAUGCCGCGUGAAUGAUGAAGGUCUUAGGAUUGUAAAAUUCUUUCACCGGGGACGAUAAUGACGGUACCCGGAGAAGAAGCCCCGGCUAACUUCGUGCCAGCAGCCGCAGUAAGAC
rnacentral:rRNA from 1 species